AGAGUUUGAUCCUGGCUCAGGAUGAACGCUGGCGGCGUGCUUAACACAUGCAAGUCGAACGGGAAACAUUUUAUUGAAGCUUCGGCAGAUUUAGCUUGUUUCUAGUGGCGGACGGGUGAGUAACGCGUGGGUAACCUGCCUUAUACUGGGGGAUAACAGCCAGAAAUGACUGCUAAUACCGCAUAAGCGCACAGAACCGCAUGGUUCGGUGUGAAAAACUCCGGUGGUAUAAGAUGGACCCGCGUUGGAUUAGCUAGUUGGCAGGGCAGCGGCCUACCAAGGCGACGAUCCAUAGCCGGCCUGAGAGGGUGAACGGCCACAUUGGGACUGAGACACGGCCCAGACUCCUACGGGAGGCAGCAGUGGGGAAUAUUGCACAAUGGGGGAAACCCUGAUGCAGCGACGCCGCGUGAAGGAAGAAGUAUCUCGGUAUGUAAACUUCUAUCAGCAGGGAAGAUAAUGACGGUACCUGACUAAGAAGCCCCGGCUAACUACGUGCCAGCAGCCGCGGUAAUACGUAGGGGGCAAGCGUUAUCCGGAUUUACUGGGUGUAAAGGGAGCGUAGACGGCGCAGCAAGUCUGAUGUGAAAGGCAGGGGCUUAACCCCUGGACUGCAUUGGAAACUGCUGUGCUUGAGUGCCGGAGGGGUAAGCGGAAUUCCUAGUGUAGCGGUGAAAUGCGUAGAUAUUAGGAGGAACACCAGUGGCGAAGGCGGCUUACUGGACGGUAACUGACGUUGAGGCUCGAAAGCGUGGGGAGCAAACAGAAUUAGAUACCCUGGUAGUCCACGCCGUAAACGAUGA
rnacentral:rRNA from 1 species